CCUACGGGGGUCUGCAGUAGGGAAUCUUCCACAAUGGGCGAAAGCCUGAUGGAGCAACGCCGCGUGGGUGAAGAAGGUCUUCGGAUCGUAAAACCCUGUUGUUAGAGAAGAAAGUGCGUGAGAGUAACUGUUCACGUUUCGACGGUAUCUAACCAGCAAGCCACGGCUAACUACGUGCCAGCAGCCGCGGUAAUACGUAGGUGGCAAGCGUUAUCCGGAUUUAUUGGGCGUAAAGGGAACGCAGGCGGUCUUUUAAGUCUGAUGUGAAAGCCUUCGGCUUAACCGGAGUAGUGCAUUGGAAACUGGGAGACGUGAGUGCAGAAGAGGAGAGUGGAACUCCAUGUGUAGCGGUGAAAUGCGUAGAUAUAUGGAAGAACACCAGUGGCGAAAGCGGCUCUCUGGUCUGUAACUGACGCUGAGGUUCGAAAGCGUGGGUAGCAAACAGGAUUAGAUACCCGGGUAGUC
rnacentral:rRNA from 1 species